AUUGAACGCUGGCGGCAGGCUUAACACAUGCAAGUCGAGCGGAGUGAUGGUGCUUGCACUAUCACUUAGCGGCGGACGGGUGAGUAAUGCUUAGGAAUCUGCCAUUUAGUGGGGGACAACAUUCCGAAAGGAAUGCUAAUACCGCAUACGUCCUACGGGAGAAAGCAGGGGAUCUUCGGACCUUGCGCUAAAUGAUGAGCCUAAGUCGGAUUAGCUGGUUGGUGGGGUAAAGGCCUACCAAGGCGACGAUCUGUAGCGGGUCCGAGAGGAUGAUCCGCCACACUGGGACUGAGACACGGCCCAGACUCCUACGGGAGGCAGCAGUGGGGAAUAUUGGACAAUGGGCGGAAGCCUGAUCCAGCCAUGCCGCGUGUGUGAAGAAGGCCUUUUGGUUGUAAAGCACUUUAAGCGAGGAGGAGGCUACUAGUACUAAUACUACUGGAUAGUGGACGUUACUCGCAGAAUAAGCACCGGCUAACUCUGUGCCAGCAGCCGCGGUAAAAC
rnacentral:rRNA from 1 species